GGCUCAGGAUGAACGCUAGCGACAGGCCUAACACAUGCAAGUCGAGGGGCAGCACAAGGAGCAAUCUGAGGUGGCGACCGGCGCACGGGUGAGUAACACGUAUGCAACCUGCCUGUAAGCGGGGAAUAACCCGUUGAAAGACGGACUAAUACCGCAUAAUACUAAAUUACUGCAUGGUAAUUUAUUUAAACAUUUAUGGCUUACAGAUGGGCAUGCGCAUGAUUAGCUAGUUGGAGAGGUAACGGCUCCCCAAGGCAACGAUCAUUAGGGGUUCUGAGAGGAAGGUCCCCCCACACCGGUACUGAGACACGGACCAGACUCCUACGGGAGGCAGCAGUGAGGAAUAUUGGUCAAUGGACGAGAGUCUGAACCAGCCAAGUCGCGUGCAGGAAGAAUGUCCCUAUGGAUUGUAAACUGCUUUUGCAGGGGAAUAAAGUGCAUCACGUGUGAUGUUUUGUAUGUACUCUGCGAAUAAGGAUCGGCUAACUCCGUGCCAGCAGCGGC
rnacentral:rRNA from 1 species